GGUACCCGUGGCCUGGGAGAUCGCGGCGGCGCUGGCGGCGCCGCUGGAUGUCCUGGUGGUCCGGGCACUCCGGGCGCCG
rnacentral:tRNA from 1 species